rnacentral:lncRNA from 1 species
GACGACCGGAGAAAUGCCUUCUCAAGUUCGCCACACGAAAUCCUCUCCAUUGAUUUGAAGUAUUUAUCCUUCAACCUCUUCUUUUGUAGAACUCGGUCCAUUGCGGCGUCAUCUGGAAGAGGACCACACAUUAAACCCGUGACAAGAGCAUACUCUUGCAGGUCAAACCUGGCUAAGUGGCCUUGCACUUUAAACCAUAUUUCGCUGGCCUUUUCAGUUCGUAUGCAGCGAAAAACGAGUUGCUGGAUUAGUUGGGCUGAGAAUUGGAGAUCUCGAACCUCGGAUAAGAACCCUAGGCAUGAGUUACGGAAGUCCGUACGUUGUCGCUCAUCAAAAUGCUCCAGGACUGUCUUCAUGUACCGUAGAUUGCUUCGCUGUGAGAUGUGGGCCCUCAGC